UACAGAGGUCCCGAGCGUUGUUCGGAUUCACUGGGCGUAAAGGGUGUGUAGGUGGCGCUGUAAGUCGGGUGUGAAAUCUCGGGGCUUAACUCCGAAACUGCAUUCGAUACUGCGGUGCUUGAGGACUGGAGAGGAGACUGGAAUUCAUGGUGUAGCAGUGAAAUGCGUAGAGAUCAUGAGGAAGACCAGUGGCGAAGGCGGGUCUCUGGACAGUUCCUGACACUGAGACACGAAGGCCAGGGGAGCAAACGGG
rnacentral:rRNA from 1 species